UCGGGAAUUUUGGGCAAUGGGCGAAAGCCUGACCCAGCAACGCCGCGUGAAGGAUGAAGUAUUUCGGUAUGUAAACUUCGAAAGAAUAGGAAGAAUAAAUGACGGUACUAUUUAUAAGGUCCGGCUAACUACGUGCCAGCAGCCGCGGUAAUACGUAGGGACCAAGCGUUGUUCGGAUUUACUGGGCGUAAAGGGCGCGUAGGCGGCAAUUCAAGUCAUCUGUGAAAUCUCCGGGCUUAACUCGGAACGGUCAGAUGAUACUGCUUUGCUAGAGUGCAGAAGGGGCAAUCGGAAUUCUUGGUGUAGCGGUGAAAUGCGUAGAUAUCAAGAGGAACACCUGAGGUGAAGACGGGUUGCUGGGCUGACACUGACGCUGAGGCGCGAAAGCCAGGGGAGCAAACGGGAUUAGAUACCCCGGUAGUCCC
rnacentral:rRNA from 1 species